UUUGUGUUUUUGCUUGUGUAGGUCAAGAAGUUGGAGAAGGAAGGGGUCCCGUCGAAGCAAGCGGAGGCCAUAACGAAGGUUUUGAACGAGAUCGCCCGCUCCCUUGGGUCCAAGCCCGAGAUACAGAGGGAUCAACACUAUCCAAUGCUGCAACGAGAGACUGAAGAAAAUCUUCGAGUUGAUAUCGAGAAAAUGCGUAGUGAACUUAGGUCUGGUUUGCAUUGAAGUAUAUAACAGAUUAGUAAGCCAAUUAUAUCCAGAUUAAUACUUCUUUCUUUAAUUUAAACUCACUGUCUUAAACAGAUAUGAAAUCGACAAGGUAAUUGCUGGGCAGCGCUUGGAUCUAAUCCUCGAGAGACGGUAAGGGAUGUUAAUGUCUAUUUGAUAAUGGAAUAUGUGGUGAUACCUCAGGCUGAAUUAUUGUCCAUAUUUGUUACAGAAAAUACACUUUUUUAAUUUAACAACUAGGUUAACCAUGCUAGUUCAGAUGAAGAGUUCAUGUUGUAGGUAACAAAAAACAAGAGUUCAUAUUGAUUUGAAUUCUGAUUUAUCAUCAAGACGUUCUGGUCUGAGUGUUGCUAGAUCACUGUGCUAAUGUUGAUCCAAUGUUUCAUUUGACUUUGUUCAUUUUUUAUCACCUUUGUUAUGCCUGGAGCAAACAAAUAGGACUACCAUCAGUAGCAUCGAUCAAUGAUUAUGUAUGUGCUUAUUGCAAGUAGCUUUUCAUUUUUAAUGUGCUGUACCGGAUGAAUGUAGUAGCUUUAAUUUUAACUUCUUUUUUCUAAUUGUUUAGGCGCAUACGUCACAAGUUACGUGACAAGUUAGCCAAACAAAAUGCAGAAACCACAAAACUUAUUACCAAAAUCGAGAAGGAAAUCCUUGCAUUAAGGGCACAGCUAGACGCAGCAAAAUAUGAUGCCACAAAGUUCUGCAUCGUUACUGUUGUUUCUAUAUGUGCUGUUGCUUGUCAGAUUGCGGCUCUCACGUUCAGUUCCUCGCGUGUAGAAGCGGCUGAGGAGAUCCCCAAGGACAAAUGAUUGAUUUACCAAUUCUAACCCUACAUACUAUGAUCUACAUGUACCUGACAAAAUGAAAGCAAAUGAGAAACUUAAAAGGCUUCAGCGAAGAAAAGAAAAUUGAUUACUUUGGUAAAUCAAUAAAAAUCUGCUACGGGAACGGGUGGAGAAAGUUCGUUAGCAUCCAUGGGAACGGUCUUCGUCAUCAUAGCAACCGCCCAACCGCCCAAGGGGGCCAAGAAGCCAAAUAAAACCCUUCUCUUCGCGGCCUAAGCAACAGGAAGAAGAAAGGUUGUCGAUAGCGAACGCGACAAUAUAUUUCCUUUUUUCGUUUUCAUCCCCCUCGAUCUCGAAUCGGACGGACGAGUUCUCACUUCGCGAUCCAGAUGUCUGCGGCGGCUAUCGCCUGCAGUAGAGGCGCCGCCGCGUUCGGGUUUCGUUGCUGGUCGCUGAUGCGGCUGCUGGCGGCGCAAGUCGGGUGCCCUCGGUCCAAUUUAUCGCUGCUGCAGCGCUUCACUUCGGACGAGAGCAACGGGAGUAGGGCUUGCCUUAUCGACACGCUCGCUCUGGUACUGCGCUACCUUAUCAGUGUUCGAUUGAUGGGACAACUACCUUAGGGCUUCCCCCAACCUGCAGUUUGCUGUGGUGAGUGGUUGACAGCCUCGUGCGCCAUCAUAAGUACACACCCUGGAAAGGCAGGCGAAGGCAAGUGAAGCCCAUCGAC